AUGUUACGGGGGAAAAGAUGUAUAAACAAACUGGGUGUUUUUAUGAAUGCUUGCCAGUUUAUUAAGCAGAUUCUGGUGUCUGACAAUUCUUAUGGUAGCAAUGAACGUGACAUAUUGAGUCGUUUUUCUUUCAAAGGCAGGAGCUCUUCUUACGAAAAUCAACAUAUAAAUUUUGUAAACAAACUAUCCACGGGGAGCAGAAAGGCAUUAAAUGGGCAAUUUGCAUUUCAAAACACAGGAUCAUUAUGGCUUCCAGUGAAUAGCUUGGGUUUUGGAAUGGACUGUGUGUGUUCCACAAAAAGCAGAUAUGUGAUUUACGACAGCCCAAGGAACAAAGCAAGGCUAGUGACAACUGUAAGCCAGAGAGAAAUGCCAUGGCCAGCAAAUCAAAACACUGUGUUUGAAAAGGUCAAGACAAUAUUUGCCUCCUUAGCAUUCCGAGGAGGGCUUACCAGAACAUUUUGCCAUCUUUCUGUCUCCCUUGAAGACGGUGGGGGAGGAUCAUGACAAAGACUGUUGACGAAGUGAGGAGGAAAGAAAGUACGAGAAAUAAAUCUUUUGGAAGCAGUCA
rnacentral:lncRNA from 1 species